rnacentral:lncRNA from 1 species
CCAGAUUUGCAGUCAAAAAAUGGUUCUUCAUGUUCAUUGAACAGUACGCAUCUCCAAAAAGAAACAGUGUCACCAGAAUGACCAUGAAGAAAAAGUUUCUUCCUGAAGUCUUCCUUGCCUUUAACUGAGAGCCGGUGAUCUGAUGCAGGUACGUCUUCCCGUUCGUCCUCAGAACCAGAUACACUAGAUACCUCCAAAUCGUCAAACAGAGAAUCAGAAUCAAUUUUUUCCAAAUCUUCUUCCUUGAUAAUAGAUUUACCAGCAACACUCAGCUUAACCUAACAGGAUUGCCAAAAAAGCAGAUUAAACAGUGUCAAUAACAUGAGAAACUUUAGCACGAAUAGGUUUUUUAGAAUGGCAUGCUACACAAACCCCACAGUAAUUAUACUNACCAUGAAAAAAAAGUUUCUUCCUGAAGUCUUCCUUGCCUUUAACUGAGAGCCGGUGAUCUGAUGCAGGUACGUCUUCCCGUUCGUCCUCAGAACCAGAUACACUAGAUACCUCCAAAUCGUCAAACAGAGAAUCAGAAUCAAUUUUUUCCAAAUCUUCUUCCUUGAUAAUAGAUUUACCAGCAACACUCAGCUUAAC